UAACGCGUUAAGUCGACCGCCUGGGGAGUACGGCCGCAAGGUUAAAACUCAAAUGAAUUGACGGGGGCCCGCACAAGCGGUGGAGCAUGUGGUUUAAUUCGAUGCAACGCGAAGAACCUUACCUGGUCUUGACAUCCACGGAAGUUUUCAGAGAUGAGAAUGUGCCUUCGGGAACCGUGAGACAGGUGCUGCAUGGCUGUCGUCAGCUCGUGUUGUGAAAUGUUGGGUUAAGUCCCGCAACGAGCGCAACCCUUAUCCUUUGUUGCCAGCGGUCCGGCCGGGAACUCAAAGGAGACUGCCAGUGAUAAACUGGAGGAAGGUGGGGAUGACGUCAAGUCAUCAUGGCCCUUACGACCAGGGCUACACACGUGCUACAAUGGCGCAUACAAAGAGAAGCGACCUCGCGAGAGCAAGCGGACCUCAUAAAGUGCGUCGUAGUCCGGAUUGGAGUCUGCAACUCGACUCCAUGAAGUCGGAAUCGCUAGUAAUCGUGGAUCAGAAUGCCACGGUGAAUACGUUCCCGGGCCUUGUACACACCGCCCGUCACACCAUGGGAGUGGGUUGCAAAAGAAGU
rnacentral:rRNA from 1 species